UAAACAAUGGAACCUGAGCAAGCAGGUUUCAGGCUGGGGAGGGGAGGCUUCAGAGACCUCAGCAUAUUGGAGGUACCAGUACAAGAAGACAACUGCCCAAAGAGCAGCGGGCAAGGGACAGAGCCACCUAAAUCUGUGAGGUGAACUGAAUGUGCUGUGGAAGGCAGAGCCAGAGAAAUGGGCCUGCUCGUGCCUUAGGAACCCAGAUGAUCAUGGGUCUCAGACACCAGACACUGAGCUAUUCACACUUCUGAGAGGAGUUGGGUUUGAUUUGAUGUGACUUUGAAUAUGCCCUGAAUGUUUUCUUGUCUUCUCUUGUGGGAACCUCAGAGCCAUAGGAAGCUGCUCCCCUACAGCCAGAGCUGCAACCCUAAACACUUGUUGAAGAAAAAACAGCUGCCCAGCUCCUAGACCUGAGAUGAGCUUACAGCAUGUGUGGUGGUCAAGGAGAGAACUUACACAUCUCAGGAGAGAUGCUCCAUUACUCGGCCACUCUAGCUGCUUGGAAAAUUGAUGUCUUCCAGUACUGUGAACCUCUGCAGCACAGAACCCCUCGAUGCCUUUCUGAGCUGUCUCAGACCAGAGGAGUUAGAUCAUCCUGGAGCUGAAGUAUAGGCAGAUGUGAACUGAU
rnacentral:lncRNA from 1 species